UCCUCGCUAGUAUAUCGGUUAGUAUAUUCGCCUCUCAGUCGAGAGCUGCCAGUGCACGAGCAUCUCAAGCAAGGCAUGACCGCGAAAGAGCAGGGUUCAACUCCCUGGCGGGGAA